CUUCAUUGUCGGUCAAAUAAGUAACCAAAUACCCCCCUUGUUAUUUUGGCGGUUUAAUGAAACUUAAACUAAUUCCUCAUAGAUUUCUCUCUCUUCCAUGUCUUCUGUUCUUUCUAAACCCCCAAAACUGAAAAACCCCAAAACUCCGUGAAACCCCGGCGAACCGCACCGCCGUCUGCCGUUUUUAGCUCGCUGGAGACUAGCGCUGCACCUCGCAGCCCUGUUCAUCUCUCUCUCGUGUGUGGUGUUGUUGUUCAUAUUCAUUGUUGCCUUAUUUCUCUCUCCUCUAUGUCCUGCGACCACCGCGGCUGGUGUCGCUGCUGUGGUUGUUUUGCUGCCGCUGUUUUGUGCGUGGAGUUCGUCGGUGCUCCACCGUACCCAAAGCUUCGAGACCCCUCUCUCCCUCUAUUCAAUUGUUCUUCGCUGCUCACAAGAGCACAGCUUUCGGUUUCACUGAAGAGUCGUUUAGACCGAGAUAUUUGUUUAACUGUGAUUCGAAAAGGUACAUGAAGGUAAUGUAUAAUGAAGAAGGUUCGAUGUUGGAAGUUUGUUGUAUGCUUUAUACUAUUUGUAUCGCGGCGAGGACGAUCAACUUUGUAAUAUUAUAGUUAAUAGUUAAUUUGUAAUUGAAUUAAAAAGGUUCGAGUUUGUAAAGUCUAGACUUGUUUGGGUUGCUGGAUUUUGAGGAUACAGGAUUACGAAUCGGACGCGAGUCCUAAAUUAAGUUUUAGGCGGUCCGUAUUACAAAGGGAACUCUGCCGAAUUUUCUGUAGAAUUUUAAUAACAUAUCUAGUUGUUUUAAA